UACUUAUAAUAAGACAGAAUUUAACAUUACAAAAGUCUUUUUUUUUAAGUAGUCACUGAACCAUGAAAAUGAGGUCAAGGACAUUUGAUAUGUGACUGACGGAAAGUUCGUAGCAUGAGGCAUCUAUAUACAAACUAUGAAGCAUCCAUGUCUUCCACCUUCUAAAAUAUAAAGCUUUUUUUAAGAAGUUAGCUAACGCCGCCGCCGCUGGAUCACUAUUCCUAUGUCGAGCUUUCUGCAACAAAAGUUGCAGGCUCGACAAAAACCAAUGAGACGCAAUACAAUUGUUUGUGUGUUCCGAUUUUAUUUAUAACAAAUCCAUAUAGAAGAGUUAUUUCGAAUAAAGAAACAAAAUAUGGAGGACAUAGAUAUUAUUUAAAUCAAAAUUUCCUCUAAACAAUUUAUAUAAGUUUUAAAAAAAUUUGAUGAUUCAAAUACAUUUUUAAUUUUCUUUUUUCUUCUCUAACUAGCAGACAGUAAAUAUCAAAUACAACAGCCGUGGAAGAUCUAAGUCACAUUUUCAAAAUAAAUCAUGAUCUUUCCGUUAUUUUGUUUUCAACGGAAUUUUAUCAGCAUUUAAGACACACAGUUAUUUGUUAACAGGCAUAUCAAUCUGUAUGGUGCUAUACCAUGUGUUAUUUGUACAUUUUAAUAUAUUUCAUCAAAUCAGGAAAUACACAAUUACGUUAGACUGAUAGUAAAGCAACCAAAAAUAAAUAGAAGUUAACUUGAAUGACUAACAUGAGGUUACCCUCAUUGCACCUACUUUGACAAUUUUUGUUCACCUACGUUUAUUUAUAAACCAGACAAGUCUUUUUUUUAAUUUUGUAGAUGUAUCCUUACAUAUAAUAGAAUGAUUUAUUUACACAUAUAUGUCAAGCAAACACAAAUUUAAACAUGCAUAAUACAAAACUACAAACAUAAUCAUAAAAAAACAUAGUUAUAAUGGUAAUGUACCCUUUGAUGGACAUCGGCCUCAAUUUCGCAAUUCUAAAGAUUGCUUUAUAAAGUCAUCAACUUCUGUCAAAGCUCAGAUUUAGGAUUUAAAAGUUAUCGUAGCUGUAAAAGGGGUUGAUAAUUUGUAUAAACAGGGUAAAAAUAAAAUAGGCAAAUAAAAUGACUAUUUAGAUAUAAUCAUAUAGGAACACAAUGAUAAAAAAA
rnacentral:lncRNA from 1 species